GGUUAAGCGACUAAGCGUACACGGUGGAUGCCCUGGCAGUCAGAGGCGAUGAAGGACGUGCUAAUCUGCGAUAAGCGUCGGUAAGGUGAUAUGAACCGUUAUAACCGGCGAUUUCCGAAUGGGGAAACCCAGUGUGUUUCGACACACUAUCAUUAACUGAAUCCAUAGGUUAAUGAGGCGAACCGGGGGAACUGAAACAUCUAAGUACCCCGAGGAAAAGAAAUCAACCGAGAUUCCCCCAGUAGCGGCGAGCGAACGGGGAGCAGCCCAGAGCCUGAAUCAGUAUGUGUGUUAGUGGAAGCGUCUGGAAAGGCGCGCGAUACAGGGUGACAGCCCCGUACACAAAAAUGCACAUGCUGUGAGCUCGAUGAGUAGGGCGGGACACGUGGUAUCCUGUCUGAAUAUGGGGGGACCAUCCUCCAAGGCUAAAUACUCCUGACUGACCGAUAGUGAACCAGUACCGUGAGGGAAAGGCGAAAAGAACCCCGGCGAGGGGAGUGAAAAAGAACCUGAAACCGUGUACGUACAAGCAGUGGGAGCACGCUUAGGCGUGUGACUGCGUACCUUUUGUAUAAUGGGUCAGCGACUUAUAUUCUGUAGCAAGGUUAACCGAAUAGGGGAGCCGAAGGGAAACCGAGUCUUAACUGGGCGUUAAGUUGCAGGGUAUAGACCCGAAACCCGGUGAUCUAGCCAUGGGCAGGUUGAAGGUUGGGUAACACUAACUGGAGGACCGAACCGACUAAUGUUGAAAAAUUAGCGGAUGACUUGUGGCUGGGGGUGAAAGGCCAAUCAAACCGGGAGAUAGCUGGUUCUCCCCGAAAGCUAUUUAGGUAGCGCCUCGUGAAUUCAUCUCCGGGGGUAGAGCACUGUUUCGGCAAGGGGGUCAUCCCGACUUACCAACCCGAUGCAAACUGCGAAUACCGGAGAAUGUUAUCACGGGAGACACACGGCGGGUGCUAACGUCCGUCGUGAAGAGGGAAACAACCCAGACCGCCAGCUAAGGUCCCAAAGUCAUGGUUAAGUGGGAAACGAUGUGGGAAGGCCCAGACAGCCAGGAUGUUGGCUUAGAAGCAGCCAUCAUUUAAAGAAAGCGUAAUAGCUCACUGGUCGAGUCGGCCUGCGCGGAAGAUGUAACGGGGCUAAACCAUGCACCGAAGCUGCGGCAGCGACGCU
rnacentral:rRNA from 1 species